rnacentral:rRNA from 1 species
GACGAACGCUGGCGGCGCGCCUAACACAUGCAAGUCGAACGAGCGAGAGAGAGCUUGCUUUCUCGAGCGAGUGGCGAACGGGUGAGUAACGCGUGAGGAACCUGCCUCAAAGAGGGGGACAACAGUUGGAAACGACUGCUAAUACCGCAUAAGCCCACGGGUCGGCAUCGACCAGAGGGAAAAGGAGUGAUCCGCUUUGAGAUGGCCUCGCGUCCGAUUAGCUAGUUGGUGAGGUAACGGCCCACCAAGGCGACGAUCGGUAGCCGGACUGAGAGGUUGAACGGCCACAUUGGGACUGAGACACGGCCCAGACUCCUACGGGAGGCAGCAGUGGGGAAUAUUGCACAAUGGGGGAAACCCUGAUGCAGCGACGCCGCGUGGAGGAAGAAGGUCUUCGGAUUGUAAACUCCUGUUGUUGAGGAAGAUAAUGACGGUACUCAACAAGGAAGUGACGGCUAACUACGUG